AAGUCGGGUGUGAAAUCCCUCGGCCCAACCGAGGAACUGCGCCCGAAACUGCAUGUCUUGAGGACAGGAGGGGAGCGCGGAAUUCCUGGUGGAGCGGUGAAAUGCGUUGAUAUCAGGAGGAACACCGGCGGCGAAGGCGGCGCUCUGGCCUGUUUCUGACGCUGAGGUGCGAAAGCCAGGGGAGCAAACGGGAUUAGAUACCCCGGUAGUCCUGGCCGUAAACGAU
rnacentral:rRNA from 1 species